rnacentral:lncRNA from 1 species
UUUCUUUUCUUUUCUUUUUUUUUUUUUUUUGACCCUUUUCUAAAGCACCAGGAGCAUGCUGUCUCUCUGACCUUUUUCUUUUCUUUUCAACCCUUUCUUUUCUAAAGCACCAGGAGGACCUCUUUCUCUGGAAGUUCCCUUACCUGAUUAAGAACACUUCUAAAAUAAAUGCAGCCGUCUUAAAGCCCCCUCCCUAUGAAUCUCAUUAAAUAACCAGGAAUGAUUAAUCACCCAAGAAAAGACUGAAAAAGAAGCUACAGCCAGGAUACCAUACCCAGACAGACUUUUCGUCUUUUCUUCUGAGGGAGGUUCCAAGAGAUAACCUGGGAGACUGUAUCUGCAUAAUAAGACAACCUUAGUUCACAGUGCAGUACCACCCCUCACCUUCCAUGACUUGUCCACAAGCUAUUGUUUGUCCUUCAGUCCCAUUCAGCAUCCAAAGAGAACCAUUUGCAAACCACUGUCAGGUAUUUGGGUCCAUUCAUUUACAGCCCCCCAGCUCCCUUUCCCUAGUGAAGAGAGUAUUUAAGUGCCAACCAUUGGGCCUUUCUGUGUAUGUUCAUAUUUUUUAUAUGGCUUCCCUGCUUCAUGCAUGUUAAUAAAUUUGUUAUGAUUUUCU